rnacentral:rRNA from 1 species
ACGAACGCUGGCGGCGUGCUUAACACAUGCAAGUCGGACGAUGAACCAGGAGCUUGCUCUUGGGGAUUAGUGGCGAACGGGUGAGUAACACGUGAGUAACCUGCCCUUGACUCUGGGAUAACCUCCGGAAACGGAAGCUAAUACCGGAUACGAACUGCGAAGGCAUCUUCAGCAGUUGGAAAGAACUUCGGUCAAGGAUGGACUCGCGGCCUAUCAGGUAGUUGGUGAGGUAACGGCCCACCAAGCCUACGACGGGUAGCCGGCCUGAGAGGGUGACCGGCCACACUGGGACUGAGACACGGUCCAGACUCCUACGGGAGGCAGCAGUGGGGAAUAUUGCACAAUGGGCGCAAGCCUGAUGCAGCAACGCCGCGUGAGGGAUGACGGCCUUCGGGUUGUAAACCUCUUUUAGUAGGGAAGAAGCGAAAGUGACGGUACCUGCAGAAAAAGCACCGGCUAACUACGUGCCAGCAGCCGCGGUAAUACGUAGGGGCGAGCGUUGUCCGGAAUUUUGGGCGUAAAGAGCUCGUAGGCGGUCUGUCGCGUCUGCUGUGAAAACCCGAGGCUCAACCUCGGGCCUGCAGUGGGUACGGGCAGACUAGAGUGCGGUAGGGGAGAAUGGAAUUCCUGGUGUAGCGGUGGAAUGCGCAGAUAUCAGGAGGAACACCGAUGGCGA